UGAGGAAUUUUGCACAAUGGGAGCAAUCCUGACGCAGCAACGCCGCGUGUGUGAUGAAGGCCUUCGGGUCGUAAAGCCCUGUCAGGCGGGAAGAAUGUCCCGGGACUGAACAGGUUACGGGAGUGACGUUACCACCAGAGAAAGCACCGGCUAACUCCGUGCCAACAGCCGCGGUAAUACGAAGGGUGCAAGCGUUAUUCGGAUUUACUGGGCGUAAAGCGGCUGUAGGCGGUCCUGCAAGUCGGAUGUGAAAGCCCCGGGCUUAACCCGGGAAGUGCAUUUGAAACUGUGGGACUUGAGUACUGGAGAGGAUGGUGGAAUUCCCGGUGUAGAGGUGAAAUUCGUAGAGAUCGGGAGGAAUAUCAGUGGCGAAGGCGGCCAUCUGGACGGUAACUGACGCUGAGGCGCGAAAGCGUGGGGAGCAAACA
rnacentral:rRNA from 1 species